UGUUCCAGUUAUUGCCUAUCUUUUGACUUCUCUCUUGUUGUUAUUUCUCUAUGGCUUGGAGCUUAAAAGUUACAAAACUAAGGUUAUGUUUGUAUCGUUGUCGUUUGUUUGUCCUAGUAUUUUGCCCAUUUGGAUUUUUGUUGGCUGUUUUGUGUGUGUUUUUUAAAACUUUUGUUUGUCAUUUGUAAAUUUUAUAAAUUUACCACAAUGCAAAGUGAUUAUUUAAGGAAAUUAUUAUUGGAAACUACGCAGAUGUUUUAGAAAGAUAUUCAUUGAAGCUGAAAAUAAUUGGAGAUUUAGAUCCAUAUACAAUUCAGUCAUCAGAAUUGGAUUUUACAGUGCAUUCCAUCAAUUACUGUUAGAUAGACAAUGCUAUUAUAGAUAGACUGGUAGAGUCUCACAGUUACUACUUUAAGCAGCAGAUGAAAGCAUACAAAGCCUUCAGGCUCAUAAAAGCCUUCACAACUGGAUUUGUUUUGAAACAUUUGAUGUUUUGAUAUGACUUCUAUAUUAUUGUUGGAAAGGUGAAGAAUUCCCAAAAAGCUAAUGCUAAACCACUAGAUGCUUGGGUGAUAGCCAGUUCCAAUGGCAUAGCAAAUGCACAUUGUAUGUGUAUUGCCGGUAAUAGUGAAGUUUGCAGCCAUAUUGCAGCAAUCUUAUUUGCAGCUGAGUAUGCCCACAGCAAGACAGAAGAAGAAGAACCCAAUGCAUGUGCAGAUGUUACAGCUAUGUACAUUCUCUGGUGAAAACCUAACGAGUUUUCAAGCUGUUCGGUCAGAGUGCUUGUUGCACUCUCUAAACGAACUGAAAUAUAAGACGGCUUUGGCUUCAUGUUGCAGCGAUAUGAAAAUGGUUAGUCAAUUUUAAUUAUAAUGUACUUCUUCAUCAUGAGUAUUUAUGUAUAGGGCUUUUCAUUCACAGUCAUUUGUUUCGAGCUUCUGUCAUGUGUCACAUAAUAUUAAUAUUAUAUCUACGUCAUACGUUAUUGGUAUAUACCAAUGAUACACACCAAAGACAUGGCGUAGAUAUAUUAAUAUUAUGUGACACAUGACAGAUGCUCGAAACAAAUGACAGUGGAUAAAAAGCCCUAUUAGUCUUUUAAGUGUGUAUUAUCAGAUAUCACAUGUAAAUUGUUUUUAUCAUUUUAAUUUGGUCAUUACAGUCCCUUAAUCAAAAAAUAUAUUUUUCAGGUGUCUGUGGAUCUUUUUUUAUGCAAAAAUUUGUAAUAAUUAUUUGAAAUCAUUUUGAGGAUUAUAAGAGUAUGGAAAUAUACAGUAGGAAAAAUGAAAGAAUACCCAUGGACGAACAUAUAAAACACGCUGUAUUUUCCUGUCACCGUGUCACACAAAAAAUUGGCCAACGCAAGUACAUGUAAUAAUUAUUGUUACAUGUACUUGCACUGGACAAUUUUCUUUGUGACACGGUGACAGGAAAAUACAGCGUGUUUUAUAUGUUCGUUCAUGGGUAUUCUUUCAUUUUUCCGACUGUAUGUGAGAACACAGACUAUUAUAGUUUUGUCCUAUUUUUUAUCAUUCAAUCGUCUUCUUUAAAAUUUAUAAAUAUAAAGCAGAUAGUUUUCAUUGAAAUUCAAUAUAUUGGGUCUUAUUUGUAUGUAUUCAUAUUUGACUAAAGGUACGAUUCCGAUAACGACUGCAGACAGCAACUGCAAACAUCAGUUUGCACUACUACUUUGCACUAUUUAUCUGUAUGAGACUGAUUCCGACAUCUGACUGCAACUGCUGUCCGGCAGAACGUCAGUUGCUAAUAAUUAUGCAAAUUAUUAGUGCAAAAUAAUGACGUCUGUCAUGGUGACAACUGUAACUGCCAUCUGCACUCGUUGUCGGAAUCGUACCUUUAAAAUGUGUGGUAUAAUUAUAAUAAUUAUAUAUAUUAUAUAACUUAAAUGGUUUAAACUUAAGUUUGUUAUUACAUUGUGACUUUAAUGUUUAAUUUGUUAAUAAAUGAUUUAUUAGUUUA
rnacentral:lncRNA from 1 species